rnacentral:misc_RNA from 1 species
AACCAUAGAAACCUGCGGAGUACCUGCGGAGGGAUCAUCAUCGAAUUCAUAUCCUUCUCCCACCGGAGGGGGACCUAUGAUAAACCCUUCUGUGCACCGUAAACCGUUCACUUUGGCAGGCUUUGGUGGUGAGCGUGAGCUCGUCAACGUCGCGUUCCCUCCCUAGGGGGUUGCGCGUGGCGGCCUGCCGGAGUCCUCCUAUGAAAAACACGUUUUCGAACACGACUGAAAUUUCCUUUG